rnacentral:rRNA from 2 species
UACGGGGGGGGCAAGCGUUGUUCGGAAUUACUGGGCGUAAAGGGCGCGUAGGCUGUUUCGUAAGUCUCUCGUGAAAUCCCACGGCUUAACCAUGGAAUUGCGGGAGAUACUGCGAGGCUAGAGUCCGGGAGAGGGAAGUGGAAUUCCCAGUGUAGCGGUGAAAUGCGUAGAUAUUGGGAGGAACAUCGGUGGCGAAGGCGGCUUCCUGGACCGGUACUGACGCUGAGGCGCGAAAGCCAGGGGAGCAAACGGG